AUUACUUUUGGUAGCAAUACUAAGAGUGAUUCAGUGGCGAACGGGUGCGUAACACGUGGGCAAUCUGCCUUAAAGUGGGGGAUAGCUCGCCGAAAGGCGAAUUAAUACCGCAUGUGAUUAGGGGAGACAUCUUCCCGAAAUCAAAGGUGGCGCAAGCUACCGCUUUUUGAGGAGCCCGCGGCCUAUCAGCUUGUUGGUGAGGUAACGGCUCACCAAGGCGUUGACGGGUAGCUGGUCUGAGAGGACGACCAGUCACACUGGGACUGAGACACGGCCCAGACACCUACGGGUGGCAGCAGUCGAGAAUUUUUCUCAAUGGGGGAAACCCUGAAGGAGCGACGCCGCGUGGAGGAUGAAGGUCUUCGGGUUGUAAACUCCUGUCAUUUGGGAACAAGGUGCGCGCGUUAACUGCGCGCGCAUUGAUAGUACCAGAAGAGGAAGAGACGGCUAACUCUGUGCCAGCAGCCGCGGUAAUACAGAGGUCUCAAGCGUUGUUCGGAUUCAUUGGGCGUAAAGGGUGCGUAGGUGGCGCGGUAAGUCGGGUGUGAAAUUUCGGAGCUUAACUCCGAAACUGCAUUCGAUACUGCCGUGCUUGAGGACUGGAGAGGAGACUGGAAUUUACGGUGUAGCAGUGAAAUGCGUAGAUAUCGUAAGGAAGACCAGUGGCGAAGGCGGGUCUCUGGACAGUUCCUGACACUGAGGCACGAAGGCCAGGGGAGCAAACGGGAUUAGAUACCCCGGUAGUCCUGGCAGUAAACGGUGCACGUUUGGUGUGGGAGGAUUCGACCCCUUCUGCGCCGGAGCUAACGCG
rnacentral:rRNA from 1 species